UACGGAAGGCAGCAGGGGGAAUAUUGCACAAUGGGCGAAAGCCUGAUGCAGCUAUGCCGCGUGUAUGAAGAAGGCCUUAGGGUUGUAAAGUACUUUCAUCGGGGAGGAAAAAACAAAACUAAUAAUUUUAUUUCUUGACGUUACCCGAAAAAGAAGCACCGGCUAACUCCGUGCCAGCAGCCGCGGUAAUACGGAGGGUGCUAGCGUUAAUCAGAAUUACUGGGCGUAAAGAGCACGUAGGUGGUUUUUUUAAGUCAGAUGUGAAAUCCCUGGGCUUAACCUAGGAACUGCAUUUUGAAACUGAAAUACUAGAGUAUCGUAGAGGGAGGUAGAAUUCUAGGUGUAGCGGUGAAAUGCGUAGAUAUCUGGAGGAAUACCUGUGGCGAAAGCGGCCUCCUAAACGAAUACUGACACUGAGGUGCGAAAGCGUGGGGAGCAAACAGGGAUUAGAUACCCGU
rnacentral:rRNA from 1 species